UAGCUAGUUGGUGAGGUAAAGGCUUACCAAGGCGACGAUCUGUAGCGGGUCUGAGAGGAUGAUCCGCCACACUGGAACUGAGACACGGUCCAGACUCCUACGGGAGGCAGCAGUGGGGAAUUUUGGACAAUGGGGGCAACCCUGAUCCAGCCAUGCCGCGUGAGUGAAGAAGGCCUUCGGGUUGUAAAGCUCUUUUUGGCCGGGAAGAAAUCGCAUGGGCCAAUACCCUGUGUGGAUGACGGUACCGGAAUAAGAAGCACCGGCUAACUACGUGCCAGCAGCCGCGGUAAUACGUAGGGUGCGAGCGUUAAUCGGAAUUACUGGGCGUAAAGCGUGCGCAGGCGGUUUUGUAAGACAGGCGUGAAAUCCCCGGGCUUAACCUGGGAACUGCGUUUGUGACUGCAAGGCUAGAGUACGGCAGAGGGGGGUGGAAUUCCACGUGUAGCAGUGAAAUGCGUAGAGAUGUGGAGGAACACCAAUGGCGAAGGCAGCCCCCUGGGUCGAUACUGACGCUCAUGCACGAAAGCGUGGGUAGCAAACAGGAUUAGAUACCCUGGUAGUCCACGCCCUAAACUAUGUCAACUAGGUGUUGGGUGGGUAAAACCAUUUAGUACCGUAGCUAACGCGUGAAGUUGACCGCCUGGGGAGUACGGCCGCAAGGUUAAAACUCAAAGGAAUUGACGGGGACCCGCACAAGCGGUGGAUGAUGUGGUUUAAUUCGAUGCAACGCGAAAAACCUUACCUACCCUUGACAUGCCAGGAACUUGCCAGAGAUGGCUUGGUGCCCGAAAGGGAGCCUGGACACAGGUGCUGCAUGGCUGUCGUCAGCUCGUGUCGUGAGAUGUUGGGUUAAGUCCCGCAACGAGCGCAACCCUUGUCGUUAAUUGCCAUCAUUUAGUUGGGCACUUUAACGAGACUGCCGGUGACAAACCGGAGGAAGGUGGGGAUGACGUCAAGUCCUCAUGGCCCUUAUGGGUAGGGCUUCACACGUCAUACAAUGGUCGGUACAAAGGGUUGCCAAGCCGCGAGGCGGAGCCAAUCCCAGAAAGCCGAUCGUAGUCCGGAUUGCAGGCUGCAACUCGCCUGCAUGAAGUCGGAAUCGCUAGUAAUCGUGGAUCAGCAUGUCACGGUGAAUACGUUCCCGGGUCUUGUACACACCGCCCGUCACACCAUGGGAGCGGGUUCCGCCAGAAGUAGGUAGCCUAACCGCAAGGGGGGCGCUUACCACGGCGGGGUUCGUGACUGGGGUGAAGUCGUAACAAGGUAGCCGUAGGGGAACCUGCGGCUG
rnacentral:rRNA from 1 species